rnacentral:rRNA from 1 species
CAGGCCUAACACAUGCAAGUCGAACGAGUACGACCCAGCUUGCUGGGUACGGCUAGUGGCAGACGGGUGAGUAACACGUGGGGACCUUCCCUUAAGUAUGGAAUAACAGUUGGAAACGACUGCUAAUACCGUAUAUUCCCUUCGGGGGAAAGAUUUAUCGCUUAAGGAUGGGCCAGCGGCAGAUUAGCUAGUUGGUGGGGUAAUGGCCUACCAAGGCAACGAUCUGUAGCUGGUCUGAGAGGAUGAUCAGCCACACUGGAACUGAGACACGGUCCAGACUCCUACGGGAGGCAGCAGUGAGGAAUAUUGGACAAUGGGCGAAAGCCUGAUCCAGCCAUGCCGCGUGAGUGAAGAAGGCCUUAGGGUUGUAAAGCUCUUUUAGCAGGGAAGAUAAUGACGGUACCUGCAGAAAAAGCCCCGGCUAACUCCGUGCCAGCCGCCGCCGUAAAAC